UACGAAGGGGACUAGCGUUGUUCGGAAUCACUGGGCGUAAAGCGCACGUAGGCGGAUUCGUAAGUUAGGGGUGAAAUCCCGGGGCUCAACCUCGGAACUGCCUUUGAUACUGCGGGUCUCGAGUCCGAUAGAGGUGGGUGGAAUUCCUAGUGUAGAGGUGAAAUUCGUAGAUAUUCGGAAGAACACCAGUGGCGAAGGCGGCUCACUGGCUCAUACUGGACGCUGAGGUGCGAAAGCGUGGGGAGCAAACAGG
rnacentral:rRNA from 1 species